rnacentral:rRNA from 1 species
AUUGAACGCUGGCGGCAGGCCUAACACAUGCAAGUCGAACGAGUGGCGGACGGGUGAGUAAUGUCUGGGAAAAUGCCCGAUGGAGGGGGAUAACUACUGGAAACGGUAGCUAAUACCGCAUACCAUCGGAUGUGCCCAGAUGGGAUUAGCUAGUAGGGGGGGUAAAGGCUCACCUAGUCGACGAUCCCUAGCUGGUCUGAGAGGAUGACCAGCGACACGGGAACGGCGACACGGUCCAGACUCCUACGGGAGGCAGCAGUGGGGAAUAUUGCACAAUGGGCGGAAGCCUGAUGCAGCCAUGCCGCGGGUGUGAAGAAGGCCUUCGGGUUGUAAAGCACUUUCAGCGAGGAGGCGUUACUCGCAGAAUAAGCACCGGCUAACUCCGUGCCAGCCGCCGCGGUAAUUC